UGUCCAGGAGCGGGAAUCGAACCCACAACCUUCUGCUUACCGGGCAGGUGACAUGUCCACUAAGUUACGAAC